CGGGGAAGAAUUCGUAAUGGGCCAGCCCACGUACGAAAUCUGUUGUGCCAGAGUUCAUGGUCACAACUUUUAGUACCACCUAGCUCACGAAGAAGCUCCUUGCCAUACUUAAAAAGGGAGGCGCACAAGCAGCAUCGAAAUCCUUCGACCUACCAUCUAAUACGCCACCUGAUUCACUACCUGACUGCUUGCUCUUGGUAGGCUCGGUUGGGCUCCCUCUGUGGUUGAGCCUUCUAUUAGGCUCCCUAUGAGGAUGAGCCUCAUCGGGCCCCCUUCGGCUUUGGUCCUUUUUUU
rnacentral:lncRNA from 1 species